ACUCAAAGGAAUAGACGGGGACCCGCACAAGCGGUGGAGCGUGUUGUUUAAUUCGAUGGUAAGCGAAGAACCUUACCCAGGCUUGACAUCCUGCGAAGGCUUCCGAAAGGAAACUGUGCUUUCGAGAACGCAGUGACAGGUGAUGCAUGGCCGUCGUCAGCUCGUGUCGUGAGAUGUAUGGUUAAGUCCAUUAACGAGCGCAACCCUUAUGUUUAGUUGAAUUUCUCUAAACAGACUGCCCUGGCAACAGGGAGGAAGGAGGGGAUGACGUCAGGUCAGUAUUUCCCUUACGUCUGGGGCUACAAACACGCUACAAUGGCCGGUACAAAGGGCAGCCAACCCGCGAGGGGGAGCAAAUCCCAUCAAAACCGGUCCCAGUUCGGAUAGCAGGCUGAAACUCGCCUGCUUGAAGUCGGAAUCGCUAGUAACGGUAAGUCAGCACAUUACCGUGAAUACGUUCCCGGGUCUUGUACACACCGCCCGU
rnacentral:rRNA from 1 species